UACGUAGGGUCCGAGCGUUGUCCGGAAUUAUUGGGCGUAAAGAGCUCGUAGGCGGUUUGUCGCGUCUGCUGUGAAAUCCCGAGGCUCAACCUCGGGUCUGCAGUGGGUACGGGCAGACUGGAGUGCGGUAGGGGAGAAUGGAAUUCCUGGUGUAGCGGUGGAAUGCGCAGAUAUCAGGAGGAACACCGAUGGCGAAGGCAGUUCUCUGGGCCGUAACUGACGCUGAGACGCGAAAGCGUGGGGAGCAAACAGG
rnacentral:rRNA from 1 species